UGAUUUUAUUUUUUAUGUUUUUAGAUGUUCAUGUUUUUGAAUGUUUUAUUCGAAUAAUAUAAAAAAUAAAAUAUAUAUUGACAUGGAUUAAACAAAGAUAUAUAUUAUUCUAUGUUGUAUAAACAAAUUGGCAAAAUAGAGAUGGAAGAUAAAAAUAUGGUCAAAGUAAUAAGAGUCUAUGGUGAAUGCCUAGGAGCUUUAAGGCGAAGAAGGUCGUGGUAAGCUGCGAAAAGCUUGGGGGAGAAGCAAACAUUUAUUGAUCCCAAGAUUACCGAAUGGAGUAAUCCAGCUAGCAAGAUGCUAGCUAUCUAUUAUUAAAUAAUARARGCGAUACCAGG
rnacentral:misc_RNA from 1 species